rnacentral:rRNA from 1 species
AACGAACGCUGGCGGCAUGCCUAACACAUGCAAGUCGAACGAGACCUUCGGGUCUAGUGGCGCACGGGUGCGUAACGCGUGGGAACCUGCCCUUAGGUUCGGAAUAACUCCCCGAAAGGGGUGCUAAUACCGGAUAAUGUCUUCGGACCAAAGAUUUAUCGCCUUUGGAUGGGCCCGCGUUGGAUUAGCUAGUUGGUAGGGUAAAAGCCUACCAAGGCGACGAUCCAUAGCUGGUCUGAGAGGAUGAUCAGCCACACUGGGACUGAGACACGGCCCAGACUCCUACGGGAAGCAGCAGUGGGGAAUAUUGGACAAUGGGCGAAAGCCUGAUCCAGCAAUGCCGCGCGAGUGAUGAAGGCCUUAGGGUUGUAAAGCUCUUUUACCCGGGAUGAUAAUGACAGUACCGGGAGAAUAAGCUCCGGCUAACUCCGUG